rnacentral:rRNA from 1 species
ACGGGAGGCAGCAGUGAGGAAUAUUGGUCAAUGGGCGUAAGCCUGAACCAGCCAAGUAGCGUGGAGGAUGACGGCCCUACGGGUUGUAAACUCCUUUUGCCGGGGGAUAAAAAACGGGACGUGUCCCGUCUUGCAGGUACCCGCGCGAAUAAGGACCGGCUAAUUCCGUGCCAGCAGCCGCGGUAAUACGGAAGGUCCGAGCGUUAUCCGGAUUUAUUGGGUUUAAAGGGAGCGCAGGCGGAGAGGCAAGCCAGCCGUAAAAUCGUUGAGCUCAACUCAAUCUCGCGGUUGGAACUGCUUCCCUUGAGUGCACGAGAGGAUGGUGGAAUUCGUGGCGUAGCGGUGAAAUGCAUAGAUAUCACGAAGAACUCCGAUUGCGUAGGCAGUCGCCUGGGGUGCCACUGACGCUGAGGCACGAAGGUGCGGGUAUCAAACAGGAUUAGAUACCCUGGUA